GAUGAACGCUGGCGGCGUGCCUAAUACAUGCAAGUCGAGCGAACAGACGAGGAGCUUGCUCCUCUGACGUUAGCGGCGGACGGGUGAGUAACACGUGGAUAACCUACCUAUAAGACUGGGAUAACUUCGGGAAACCGUAGCUAAUACCGGAUAAUAUAUUGAACCGCAUGGUUCAAUAGUGAAAGACGGUUUUGCUGUCACUUAUAGAUGGAUCCGCGCCGCAUUAGCUAGUUGGUAAGGUAACGGCUUACCAAGGCAACGAUGCGUAGCCGACCUGAGAGGUUAUUCGGCCAACCUGAACCUGGGACACGUUCCAGCCCCUACGGGAGGCAGCAGUAGGGAAUCUUCCGCAAUGGGCGAAAGCCUGACGGAGCAACGCCGCGUGAGUGAUGAAGGUCUUCGGAUCGUAAAACUCUGUUAUUAGGGAAGAACAAAUGUGUAAGUAACUAUGCACGUCUUGACGGUACCUAAUCAGAAAGCCACGGCUAACUACGUG
rnacentral:rRNA from 1 species